rnacentral:rRNA from 1 species
UACGUAGGGUGCAAGCGUUGUCCGGAAUUAUUGGGCGUAAAGAGCUCGUAGGCGGUUUGUCGCGUCUGCUGUGAAAACUCGGGGCUUAACCCCGGGCCUGCAGUGGGUACGGGCAGACUAGAGUGCGGUAGGGGAGACUGGAAUUCCUGGUGUAGCGGUGGAAUGCGCAGAUAUCAGGAGGAACACCGGUGGCGAAGGCGGGUCUCUGGGCCAUUACUGACGCUGAGGAGCGAAAGCGUGGGGAGCGAACAGG